rnacentral:lncRNA from 1 species
ACCACGGUAACUUGAAAGUAGUUCACUAUGCUUUGGUGCUAGACUACUUGAAUUUCUAACUCAGGAUCUGAAGGUUUCUAGACACAGUCAAGUAUUUAUGAAGUAGGUGCAUGAGUCAAAAUGAAAUUGAUCACUCCAAAGAAUUGGAGAGAAUACUUUGUAUUUCAAUUUAGUAAGAUCUUGGCCAGGACAGUCCUUGUGAGGAGUCAUAGGAUUUAUUAGGUUGAGACAUAUAAUGAAUGUAUUGUUAAG